CUCACCGCCCGUCACAUCACUUGAAUCUGGUGCUCCCGAAGUCGCUGGCCGAACCCGUGAGGGACGGAGGCGCCGAAGGAGUGCCCGGUGAGAGGGGUG
rnacentral:rRNA from 1 species